AAGCCAAGACAGCAGCGGGAGAAGAGCUCCUCAGCUUCAGACCUCCAGGAAAGUGCUCAGCUUGUCACUGCUGAAAAAUGGUUUCGGAGAGAGUCUGAGGGGCAGUACUGAAGGGACGAGGAGCUUACACUACAAGUUCCACCUUUUCCAAGAAAUCUUUGUUUACCUGCCUUGAUUUUCAACUAUCAGCUGGCCAAUGAACUCAGCAUUUUGGUGAUGGAGCAAGGACAGAGUGUGCAGGGGAGGCUGUAUCCCCCAGAGGAACCUUGCCAAGAGGAAGAUGUCCCAAACUGCAUAUAAAGGACAGCUUGUUGAUCACAUAAUGAGCUGCCUCACCCACUGCUCUGUUUCCAGUGGUGGCAAAAGGAGAUGCUGUUUAGGAAGUCAUGUGAGACUGGUUAUGUCCUUUUCCCCAAUGCAUUUCCCCAGAUUUAUCUAUAUUAAAGUUCAUCUGCCACCUUUGAGCCAGCUUAGUUUGGUGAUGUCUUCAUGGCCUGCCCAGAACUUGUCCAAAAAGAAUCAGCCCCAAACAAUGCAAUGACAGCAACUCCGUGGGAGAAGAGUGAAGAACACUGUGUGCAGCUACUUCUUACCUUCACAAAAAGGGACUUUGCAUUGUAUUUGUGUCCCGGGAUUGCUGUUGAUAAACAUGAACUUUGUAAUACAACCAUAACAGCGGAAGUAUGAAGUCAUAUACAAUGCUAUGUUGUUGCUACAUCUCC